rnacentral:lncRNA from 1 species
AGAUAGCAAGCCCAACCUAAGUCGUGUGAAAGUCCAGAUCCAGAUACACACAAACACGUCUGCUUACAUUCAUAUCAACUAGCUAGUCCAUUAUUGAGGUCAUGAGGAAUCGAUUCGAGCCGCCAGUGUAAUCCCUAAAUUAAAGCGCUCUCUCUCUCAAGUUUCACCGAUAUUCUCCCUCACCUCUGUUUUUCACAAGCUCAAAUCCCUGAUUUUUUGCAAGCUCGAAGGCUGAAGCUCCCACAAUCUGGUGAAUCAUGAGUUCAUGAUCCCUAAUUUUUGGUAAUUUGAUUCGAUAUUUUGAACUAUAUGUUUUUAUGAUUGAUUUUAUAUAUUUGUAUAUUUGUAUAUGAUUUUAGCCGUUUAUACUUUAUAUCUUAAUAUUCUAUGGCUCUGUGCUCUGUACAUUGUGUAGACGUUGUAUUAUAUUGUUUACUUAUGUGUUUGUAACCGUUGUAAACUUUUUGUUUAUUGGGAAUUGUAAUAUAGCCGUUUUCUUUUUAGCUUAUAAAUAUAUAAUUGAUCUUGGUUUAUUUAAUCCAUUGCAUUUUUACAAAUAUACACAAGUUGCUCUCUGUGUUCAGCUCUACAAUUUCUCCCCUCACUGUUACAUAUAGCUGUUAUUCCUUGUUGUGUUAUAUAUGGCCUCCUCAAGUCAACAAACACCUUCUAUUACCGGUCCUCGUGUGGCUUCGCUAAUCCCAACAGCUUCAUCUUCAUCUUAUACAGUGAUUCCGCAAAAGCACAGAAUCGAUGAUUGGGCUCAUUAUGAUUUAGUACAGCUGUCAGAUCUAGUAGAGAAGGCGAGACAUAGACUUUGCGGAGCUUGUUCACCACUAAAGGAAAUUCAACACUCAAUAAACAUCAUAAGAGGUGCGAGGCUAAACAGAAUCCUGAAUUUUCUCAAGCAAGGAUAGAUGAAACUGGACGUAUAUGGACUUAUGAUCAAAACUUACAAAGGGAGAUGCAAAUGAAGUGUUUCAUAUCUUGAGGAUUGCCAUUCAACCACUUUGAUAAUAAAGAUACAACGAGAUAUAUACAUCAAGGGUUGCAACCAUGUUAUCAAAAGGUCAGCAGAACAACUACUCGUCGUGAUGCAAUUAAAGGGUAUUUAAAGGAAAAAAAAAAGCUCUGAUCAAAUAUUUCAGCCGAUAUGAAGGUAAAGUCAGCCUUACUUCUGAUGUUUGGACUGCUGGUCAGCAUUUAAAUUUAUCUUAUAUAUGCAUUACAUGCCACUGGAUUGAUCACGAAAAAUGGGAAAUGUCAAAACGUAUUUCACGCAAAAAAUCAAAAACUAUAAGUUCAAGUAGUAGAUAAAUUGCACUUCAAUUAGCUAUUUCACGUAAAAAAAUCAAAAACUAUAAGUUCAAGUAGUGAAUUGGCAAAAUAUAAAAUGACUAAUUUCAUAGGUGAGCAAUUAGAUAUACUGGAAUUUUGGAAAAGUCGUUCAUGUCAUUAUCCUAUCAUGGCCGCGAUGGCCCGUGAUAUUCUAACAGUCCAAGCUAGUACAGUAGCUUCGGAAUCUACAUUCUCUUUUAAUGGCAGGGUAUUAAACGAAAGGAGGAGUCAUCUAAAUCCAUAAUCCCUGGAAGUGUGUAUCUAUUAUAAGGACCAUCUUGUUGCAGAAAAAAGAAGGCAAAAUGAUGUUUCCAGUGAAGAAUCUUCAGCAGAAGAAGAUCUUCUCACUGAAACCGAUGGCGACUUAUCCUAUAUAGUUCAUAAUUAGGGACUUUGGUUGUCAAAGUAAGUUACUUUUAUUUAAUGAAGAUUCUGCACUCAUCCAUUAAGUACACUCAUCCUAAACAGAUUAUGCACUCAAAAUUUGCUGUGAUAUUAGUCUUUAAUACUUUCCCUGCAUCAUAACCCCUGGCUGCAGCUUCUGCAGUUGAGUAGGAGCCUAGCCAGAUUCUUGUUUUCUGAUUGGGUGCUUCUUGCCUGCAAUGGUUCCAUCUGAUUCACCUCUAGUCAUCUAUGUUUCCAUUACCAUUGUUAAUAAAUAAAUCUAUGCAUUUUUAUGACGUUUGGUUAUGUGAAAAGGAAUGGAAUAGGAAUGAAACACUUUAGUCGAGAGUAGUAAGGUUCUUGCUUGUAGCAUAUUAUGCUUUCCAGAUUGGUUGCAGUUUUUUAUCAGAUUUAAUAAUACACACUGAACGUGACUAUGUUAUCUUUUCUUUAUCCACCAAAAACAAUUAUUUGCACUUAAAUCAAAGGUAAAAACAAAUCCCAUAGAUUGUGUGUUAGAUAUAAUUGAUGAUUACUAAUGUUCUUAAAGUUUGUUUUAGAACAGGAGUGAUCAGAGUUUAAGCUGGAAGCUGAUCAGAGUUUAAUAAAGUCUGACCAGAGUUUGAUAAAGUCUGAUCAGAGUUUACAUAGUCAAGGCUCGUCAGAGUUUACACGUGGAAAGAGCUCAGAAGCGGAUAUACUUCAAGGAAGGAUAGAAGCGNGUCUAUGUCUAUGUAUAUAUAUUGUAAAAUAAGUUAAAUGAAUGAUACAAAUUUUUUUUUUUUUGUCAUAAAAACGGUUGUAUUAAACCAAAUUGAAAGUUACAAAUCCGGAUGGACAGAGUUUCCUUCGUUCAAGAAGGUAUAUCAUCUAACCAAAAGUAUGUAAAUACUCCGGACGCUUAGAUAACAUAGCCUUUCAAGUCAGAAGAGAUAACCCACAAAAAAAGGGACUCGUUAAAACCCCUCAAGAGUAAAACCCUAUGGGAAAAAACUCAAGGAGGAAAAAGAGUGCCCUACAAAAAUUACAUCGAUUAUAAAACAGACUAAAAAUAGAUGUCUUCUUUAAUAAAACACCCAUGAGAGGUCCCGCUAUCAAUAUUUUUCCACUUGCGUACCCUGAAAAAAUACAAUACAAAAAAGAAAAUAAUAAGUUCAUACAGAAAAUAAAACUAUCUAAAGCAACAGAGAAAAAGAAUCAACAAACUCGUAAUUAAAAUAUAAUAUAAAUAUUAAAGAAUAAGGAAAGUAAAAUAAAACUAAUUUUAAAUAAAUCUUUAAAAAUCUACACCAAAGAGAUAGUGAGAUCUCUUUGGUUAGAUACCUAAUAAAAUAAUACAUAAUAGAAUUUAAAUCUCGACAGAUAAAAUCAAAAAAUAUUAAAAUUUUAAUAAGAAAGUAUAAUUAUAAACUGAAAACAUAUAUAACCAUAUCUAUUUGAAUAUAAGACAAAAUUUUGGCAAACAAAUGUAUCCUGAUAAAUCAUAUAAAAUACUAACUAAAAAUGGAUAACAAAAAAGAAAGGAGGAAUAAAUUGAGAUAAAUCAGCAUUAAAACCACGAUUUGUUACCCAAUACAUCAAAUAACAAUCAAUUUUUAUAAAACUGAAGCAUAAAUCAUGCACAAUAUAAGUCAAAAAUAUUUUUCGGUCAAUCUUGAAUACAACAUGCAUUAAAGAGUAAUUAAAAUUAAUAAAGCUAAAACGUAAAUCAAGCCUAAAUAUUAUACAAAGAUAUCAUGAGUUACCACCAUCGAGUUACCACCACCGCUGACCGCCAUGAACCAUCGUGGACUAGGUUUUGGAGAAGAAAAAUAUAAUUUGGUAUUCACCAACAUAUAAUUUGGUAUUCACCAAUAGCCAUAGAGGUACAAAACCACAAAGGGUACAUCAAACCAUAUCAAGGGCCCCAUGAAUAUAAUUCAGGUACAUAACAUCGAAAUUGAUCAAGAAACUAACAUAACAAAUUGCAUAUAACUGUAAUACUUGUUUAAGGACGGGAUAGCCAAAAGAAGUCUGAACAAUGAAACGAAAUUGAGAUUUCCAUCAACCCCUGUAAUACCUGUUUAAUCGGGUCAGAACAAAAAUUAGUUGACAGAGAAAAAAGAAGAUCACCUGGUAUAACUCCAAGGGAUUGAAGGGUUUGUUGACGAGAUUCACCGGGUACAUAACAGAGAAAAGUGUUUGUUAUAUUCACUCUUUCUAAUACGGAUGGAUGGAUGACUGUGGUUUGUCAUUUACUCUAAUCUAAAUAACAUAAACCUAUAUAAUGAAUGAUACAAUUUGUUUAGUUACUUAUCAUUAUUUUACAUGAUAAAUAAUGAGAGUGUUAUUUAUUCGGACAAAAUGUAUUUAUAUAAUAUACAAUGUUAUUUUGAAUUCUAUAAAACAUAAUAAUAUACUUAUAUAUGAUCAUAUUUGUAAUAUAUAUCUUUGACUAAUCUAUAUGAAAUACGGUAUUUAUUUAUUUGUUUAUAUUUUUAGGAAACUAUUGUGAUGACACCACUUAUAAACUAGUUAUUUUUCAAAGGGAGAAAUAAUAUUUUGAGAUAAAUUCUUUUUUCAAAAAGUCGAUAGAAAAAGGUGAGGAGUAAUGUAUAAUUAUCUCGAAGAAAACAACCAUUUUUGUCCCACACUCUUUUGAAAAAUUUUGGGCAAAGAACGUCUUGGCUUCUAAUUUACCACAAGAUGUCCUCGAUCUUACCAAAAACAACAACAACAAAGUACAAAUUUCACCGGGUUUUAAAGAUACAGAGUCUCCGAAGCCAUGCCGAUAAUGGGACAGCUUGGUGUUUGAUUGCAUUUUCUUUCAUAUCCCAUAUACCGUAUAAAAUUUAAUGUAAAAAUUUAUGCGGAGGAAGGCUACGUAUCAAAAUUCUGUUAUCAAAUUUUUUGUUUUCCAAAUAACAUGACAUAUAUAUAACUAAUUUUAAUUGAGUGAUUGAUGUGUAUACGGAUCUCAUUAUUAUUAUUGACAGUAAAACCCAUAUGCUAAUUAGCUCGACAGAGAUGUAGCUUCUAGUUUUUAGAUGCAUUUAUUCAAAUAUGCAAGACUGGUCAAUAUUGAGAUCUCUACCUCAGAUCACAGUACUAUUUUGCUUGAGCCUAUAGUUACAACAAAUUUGCCAAGAGUUCGGAAACUAAAGUUUAAAAAACGCUUGGCUAAGGGAGCCGGUCCUCAAGCUAAUUGUGGAAGACUCGUGGAAUAAAAAUCAAAGUGAAUGUUUGCCAAUAAAAUUGCAGAGAUGCAUCGAAGAAGUGUCAGCACGGGGUCAAUAUUUUAUUGGAAAUUUUAGAAAGAGGGUCAAAAAGUGCAAGAAGGUCAUAAAAACCACAAGAGGUCGCAGGGAUAGGGAUGAAAUCCAAAGAAAUCAACAUGCAACCAAGGAACUGGCAGAAAUCCUCACUCAACAAGAAAUUUUUCGGAAACAAAGAUCGAAACAAUUGUGGUUAAGGGUGGAGAAUAAAAAUAGUAAAUUUUUUCAUGCCAUGGCUCGAGCUAGAUGAAGGAACAAUCAGAUAAAGUUUCUCCUUAAUGAGAGAGGCGAAUAGGUGGACUGGGAGGGAGGACUAGAGAUGUCCAAAAAAUCCAAAAUCCGAUCCGGAAAAAAAUAUGAUAAAUCCGAUCUAAAAACCCGAUCCGGUCUGGAGAUUUUAAACAUACCUACUAUUUUUUAACUAAAUCUGGCCCGGCCCGAAAUCUGAAAAAUCCGGAUUUAAACCCGGAUUUUAAAAAACCCGAAUAAAACCCGAUUUUAGAAAAACCCGGAUAAACCCAGAUAUAAAACUAUUAUUCGUAUAAUUUAUAAACAUAAAAAUUAUGUAUAACCCAAGUAUCCAACCCAAUCAAAGAUAGCAAGCCCAACCUAAGUCGUGUGAAAGUCCAGAUCCAGAUACACACAAACACGUCUGCUUACAUUCAUAUCAACUAGCUAGUCCAUUAUUGAGGUCAUGAGGAAUCGAUUCGAGCCGCCAGUGUAAUCCCUAAAUUAAAGCGCUCUCUCUCUCAAGUUUCACCGAUAUUCUCCCUCACCUCUGUUUUUCACAAGCUCAAAUCCCUGAUUUUUUGCAAGCUCGAAGGCUGAAGCUCCCACAAUCUGGUGAAUCAUGAGUUCAUGAUCCCUAAUUUUUGGU